rnacentral:rRNA from 1 species
UACGAGGGGAGCAAGCGUUGUUCGGAUUUACUGGGCGUAAAGGGCGCGUAGGCGGCGUGACUAGUCACUUGUGAAAUCUCCGGGCUUAACUCGGAACGGUCAAGUGAUACUGUCGUGCUAGAGUACAGAAGGGGCAACUGGAAUUCUCGGUGUAGCGGUGAAAUGCGUAGAUAUCGAGAGGAACACCUGCGGCGAAGGCGGGUUGCUGGGCUGAUACUGACGCUGAUGCGCGAAAGCCAGGGAGCGAAGCGGG